rnacentral:rRNA from 1 species
CGGAUCAGGUAGGGAUACCCGCUGAACUUAAGCAUAUCAAUAAGCGGAGGAAAAGAAACCAACAGGGAUUGCCUCAGUAACGGCGAGUGAAGCGGCAAGAGCUCAAAUUUGAAAGCUGGCUCCUUCGGGGUCCGCAUUGUAAUUUGCAGAGGAUGCUUCGGGAGCAGCCCCCAUCUAAGUGCCCUGGAACGGGCCGUCAUAGAGGGUGAAAAUCCCGUAUGGGAUGGGGUGUCUGCGCCCAUGUGAAGCUCCUUCGACGAGUCGAGUUGUUUGGGAAUGCAGCUCUAAAUGGGUGGUAAAUUUCAUCUAAAGCUAAAUAUUGGCCGGAGACCGAUAGCGCACAAGUAGAGUGAUCGAAAGAUGAAAAGCACUUUGAAAAGAGAGUUAAAAAGCACGUGAAAUUGUUGAAAGGGAAGCGCUUGCGAUCAGACUCGCCUUGGGGGUUCAGCCGGCAUUCGUGCCGGUGUACUUCCCCCAGGGCGGGCCAGCGUCGGUUUGGGUGGCCGGUCAAAGGCCCUUGGAAUGUAACGCCUCUCGGGGCGUCUUAUAGCCAAGGGUGCCAUGCGGCCUACCUGGACCGAGGAACGCGCUUCGGCUCGGACGCUGGCAUAAUGGUCGUAAGCGAC